AGCGCUCUCGCGGGAGAGUUCGGAGUCUGGAAACAGGCCUCGACGCCGAAGGCGCAACCGCCCCGGAAACGCUCAGGCAAACGGACCGCGACAGCAUA
rnacentral:ncRNA from 1 species